GCCUCGGUAGUCUAAUGGCUUAGGACACUCGUACGAAAUACAAGAGAUUCGGGUUCGACUCCCGGCCGAGGUA
rnacentral:tRNA from 1 species